AUGAUGUUGCAAAUAUUGGUCCAACUGCCAGAGGACAGGGUUCUGUCUCUUACGUUGCACUAAAUGCAUUUACGGGAGAGGAGAAAGGGGAACUCAGCAUCCAGAGUGUAACAUUUUAUUUUAGUUAUACAAUCCUUGAAUUCAGGUUAUUUUCUUGCUUCUAGCAAUUUGUCUUUGUUUUUGCCUUGUUUCAGAAUGGAGAGGUUUUAAAAGUUCUCUCUAAAAAAUAAGGAUGGAUGGUGGCUGGCUCAAAACUCAAAAUGCCAGAAGGGCCUGGUUCCCAAAACCUUCUUGGAGAUGGUUUCUCUGUAUGGUAGUGAGAGAGAGAGAGAGAGAGAGAGAGAAUGAGGAGUGAAGAAGAAGAGUACAGUCUGACAUAAAGUCCAGAUGACUGGGAUGCUGCCCUGUCUUCUAGAUAAAGACUGUUUCCUGCAUUGUGAUUCUGAAACUCCUGAUCUUGGAAUUCUGUUUGAAUUUGGUGUGACCUACAUAAGAGAUGUGAGAAACUAUUCCUUGCAAAAAAUAUUUCUUAUCGUUUAAACAAUCAUAUGGCAGUACCAAGCAACUCUGAUCAAAGAGGACAC